UGCCAGACUCCUACGGGAGGCAGCAGUGGGGAAUAUUGGACAAUGGGGGGAACCCUGAUCCAGCGACGCCGCGUGAGUGAAGAGGUAUUUCGGUAUGUAAAGCUCUAUCAGCAGGGAAGAAAAUGACGGUACCUGAUUAAGAAGCCCCGGCUAACUACGUGCCAGCAGCCGCGGUAAUACGUAGGGGGCAAGCGUUAUCCGGAUUUACUGGGUGUAAAGGGGGCGCAGACGGCAAUGCAAGCCAGGAGUGAAAGCCCGGGGCCCAACCCCGGGACUGCUCUUGGAACUGCAUGGCUGGAGUACAGGAGGGGCAGGCGGAAUUCCUAGUGUAGCGGUGAAAUGCGUAGAUAUUAGGAGGAACACCGGUGGCGAAGGCGGCCUGCUGGACUGUGACUGACGUUGAGGCCCGAAGGCGUGGGGAGCAAACAGGAUUAGAUACCCCGGUA
rnacentral:rRNA from 1 species